rnacentral:misc_RNA from 1 species
AAGAUGAUGAUGCCCUUCUUAGGGAACUCCUCCCGGCUAUGUCGGGUGCACUCACUUCUCCUUGUGAACAGACCUAUUGCUUUGGUAGCAUUCCUACCGGUUGUUAGCCUACCUCUAGCCUACAAUAAAAUCCUUAUAAUAUUCUAUGAGAUGUCUGAAAAGAAGCAAAUUUAAAUAA